rnacentral:tRNA from 1 species
UGGAAGAGUGGCUGAGUGGUUAAAGCAGAAGAUUGCUAAUCUUUGACAAUUUAUUGUCUCGUGGGUUCGAAUCCCGCCUCUUCCGA